GGGUUCUUUCUAGCGUGAAUGACUUCCUUCUUUCAACUCCAUUUCUCUCUUUCUCGUUUCUCUCUCUUAUUCCAAUUUUCUCCCUCCUCCUGGACAUUAUCUCUGCUCUACGAUUCUCACCUUCUUCAAGUUGUCCCUUCGAAUUUCUUCAAUUUUCGCCAACGUAUUUAUAAUGAGGUCCUAUGUGAAUUCUUCAAUGCAAUGGUUAUUUCAAUUUGGCUUCUGCGAUUGAAAGGGCAGCCAGCAACACUCAGUAAGCUUGCUAAGAGUAUCGAGUCUUUGACUGACACUCUGGAAGUUGUUAACUAUACAGAUUCCUAACCACUGCGGGCUGAACUACUUCGCUCAAGUAAAGCCAGACAUUGUACAGCGCGUGUAUGGCAUCAUCAAUGUAACAUCCAUUACGAUUAUUAGUUAGAAAGGGCGGCAUAGUUUCGCAAGUCAAGGGCAAGGUGACUUGUGGCUGACUCGAGUAUUUGAUUGAGUAUGGAUGAUUAGUUCUUCUUCCUUGUGAGUAAUUAUGGCUGAUUGAUGUUGGUUGGAGUUGAAUGCGCCAUAAAGAUAGAAGCAUAUAUGAAAUCAGAUUGAUACCUGAAAAUUUUUGAGUGGUGCGGGAAGAUAAUUAGAAGCGCAUAAAGAGAAUAACAUCGUAUUUUUAGAUUUAUAUUUUUAAAUGAUAAUUUUUUUUUCUCAUCUUAAUAAUUCGUCAUUUACUUAUUUUGAUGUAAAGUCAUGUCGUUCGACAAUGAGAUUUUUGAGAGGUACUAAUUAUGUAAUGACUUAAAUUAUUUGUAGAUACAUUUUUUUUGGAGUUAAUAAUACCAAUAUUGAUUUUCAUGAAA